UCUCAUUGAACUUCAGGGUUCAUCCUCUCUCUAUCGCGACGUCUGAUCUUCAUUUCAUCACCUAAGCGGUUCCUGUUACAGGUUUUUUUUAUUGAAUCCCUUAUUAAUUCAAUCAACCAUGAUGUAUCAUUGAAAGCGAGAUUUUCUUCAGCUAGGCGGUGUAUCGGAGAAUAAAAAGGCAACACCCAUUCCAGCCACUAUCAAUGUUCAUUGUCUUCCCAUUUACAUGUGACUCUUGAAGACAGGAUUCGAAAUUGGAUAUUGCCAUUGCUCCUUAUGAGACAUACGAAGAUGAGAUUUUUGCUUUCAUGGUAAGAAUUCCCAUAAAUUUUCCAUUUGCAGUGUUCUACUUAUGCUUAUACUUAUGCUCUCUAGAAAGAGAGAAACAUUUUUUAUAGUAAUAGAUUGCUGGUUUCAUUCAUUGGUAUUUCGAGAUGAUAAAGCCACAAAGCCAGAGCUGAUCUAACACUCUUUGGUGACAAGUACAAAAAAUUUCUGGCUCCGCCACUGCGCCUGACAGUGUAUACAAAUCAAAAGACCGGAUCGUUCGAGAGCAGAAGCGAGGUGACGAAAUUGGAGUUACGAAAAAUUGAAGAUAAGUAGCUGUGUACAUGCCAUCCAUCUUACUCCAUCGUUGAUUUAGAAAUAGCUUCUUGAAUGAAAGAAGAGAAGAAGUCGUUGUUGGUCUUCGACGUAGAAAAUGAGAAGAGAGAUUGGGCCUAAGGUGAAUGUUAAUAUAGGCCCACCUCUAAUCCAGUAAAUGUUGUUAAGGACUUUCGUAUUUCCCAAUGCUACAAGUACCUACACCCAACAAUUAAAGAAAAUAGCAUUACACAAAAACUUUAUGUUGUUAGGAAUACGUGACGCAGUUUUGCUUUGGUCUUUU